rnacentral:rRNA from 1 species
CAGCCGUAAACUAUGCUCGCUAGGUGUCAGGCAUGGCGCGACCGUGUCUGGUGCCGCAGGGAAGCCGUGAAACGUGCCGCCUGGGAAGUACGGUCGCAAGGCUGAAACUUAAAGGAAUUGGCGGGGGAGCACAACAACGGGUGGAGCCUGCGGUUUAAUUGGACUCAACGCCGGACAACUCACCGGGGACGACAGCAAUAUGUAGGCCAGGCUGAAGACCUUGCCUGAAUCGCUGAGAGGAGGUGCAUGGCGUAGACGUCU